GGAGAGUUAUCGAAGCGGUCAUAACGGGGCGCACUCGAAAUGCGUUUGCCCUUUGGGCACGUGGGUUCGAAUCCCACACUCUCCGCCA
rnacentral:tRNA from 1 species